UACGGAGGGGGCUAGCGUUGUUCGGAAUUACUGGGCGUAAAGCGCACGUAGGCGGCUUUGUAAGUUAGAGGUGAAAGCCCGGGGCUCAACUCCGGAAUUGCCUUUAAGACUGCAUCGCUCGAAUUGUGGAGAGGUAAGUGGAAUUCCGAGUGUAGAGGUGAAAUUCGUAGAUAUUCGGAAGAACACCGGUGGCGAAGGCGGGUCUCUGGGCCGAUAUUGACGCUG
rnacentral:rRNA from 1 species